rnacentral:rRNA from 1 species
CAGUCGCCGCGGUAAUACGUAGGGUGCGAGCGUUAAUCGGAAUUACUGGGCGUAAAGCGUGCGCAGGCGGUUUUGUAAGACAGGCGUGAAAUCCCCGGGCUCAACCUGGGAAUGGCGCUUGUGACUGCAAAGCUAGAGUGCGGCAGAGGGGGAUGGAAUUCCGCGUGUAGCAGUGAAAUGCGUAGAUAUGCGGAGGAACACCGAUGGCGAAGGCAAUCCCCUGGGCCUGCACUGACGCUCAUGCACGAAAGCGUGGGGAGCAAACAGGAUUAGAUACCCGGGUAGUCCCUGUCUCUUAUAA